GACGAACGCUAGCGGCAGGCUUAAUACAUGCAAGUCGAGGGGCAGCAGGUUUGUAGCAAUACAAAUGCUGGCGACCGGCAAACGGGUGCGGAACACGUACGCAACCUUCCUUUAACUGGAAGAUAGCCCACCGAAAGGUGGAUUAAUACUCCAUAAUAUAACUGAAUGGCAUCAUUUAGAUAUUAAAGCUCCGGCGGUUAAAGAUGGGCGUGCGUCUGAUUAGGUAGUUGGCGGGGUAACGGCCCACCAAGCCUGCGAUCAGUAGCUGAUGUGAGAGCAUGAUCAGCCACACGGGCACUGAGACACGGGACCGACUCCUACGGGAGGCAGCAGUAAGGAAUAUUGGUCAAUGGACGCAAGUCUGAACCAGCCAUGCCGGGUGGAGGAUGAAGGCCCUCUGGGUUGUAAACUUCUUUUCUUUGGGACGAAACCCCUGUUUCUACGGGGACUGACGGUACCAGAGGAAUAAGCACCGGCUAACUCCGUGCCAGCAGCCGCCGUAACAC
rnacentral:rRNA from 1 species